rnacentral:rRNA from 1 species
UGGGGAAUAUUGGACAAUGGGCGAAAGCCUGAUCCAGCAAUGCCGCGUGAGUGAUGAAGGCCUUAGGGUUGUAAAGCUCUUUUACCCGGGAUGAUAAUGACAGUACCGGGAGAAUAAGCCCCGGCUAACUCCGUGCCAGCAGCCGCGGUAAUACGGAGGGGGCUAGCGUUGUUCGGAAUUACUGGGCGUAAAGCGCACGUAGGCGGCUUUGUAAGUUAGAGGUGAAAGCCUGGAGCUUAACUCCAGAACUGCCUUUAAGACUGCAUCGCUUGAAUCCAGGAGAGGUGAGUGGAAUUCCGAGUGUAGAGGUGAAAUUCGUAGAUAUUCGGAAGAACACCAGUGGCGAAGGCGGCUCACUGGACUGGUAUUGACGCUGAGGUGCGAAAGCGUGGGGAGCAAACA